rnacentral:lncRNA from 1 species
GGCAAUCAAAACAAGCUCAAAUAGGACACAACUUGGUACAUCAAUUUAGCACAAGCCUAAAACAGAAUUGGCAAAUGAUAAAGACCUCAAACCAAAGCCACAAUAAACUUCAAUAUGUCUAGAAACAAUGUGCAAAAUUUCACAUUCAUAGGAUAAACGACCAUCAUUUCACAAAUCAUUGAAGUUCAAGACUAUUCAA